CGCAGCCCCCGCAUGGCUGUCCCCCCGGAAUGGGCCCCACACCCAGCAUGGCCUCCAGCUCCCUUCCGCUCAGCGCACAAGUGGACCACCACGGAUACCACCACGGAUGCCCCCACGACUCCAGCCUAGUGCCCAGGCACACUGCUGGCCACCCACCACCCAGAGCCUGCCACCCUUCCAGCUGGUGGCCCAGGUGGGAGACUGGGGGAGUGGGGAAGGUGUGAAUUCGUGGGAGGCCCCAGUCGGUAAAGGAUCCGCCUGCCAGUACAGGAGACCUGGGUUCAAUCCCUGAGUUGGGAAGAUCCCCUGGAGAAGAAAAUGGCAACCACUCCAGUGUUCUUGCCUGGAGAAUCCCAUGGACAGAGGAGCCUGAUGGGCUACAUAUAGUCCAUGGGGUUGUAAGAGCCAGACACAACUGAAUCGCUGAAUUACCACCUCUCGCCACCUGGCCACAGUGGCUGCCUCCCUCUGUCCGUGGAACUCUACCACCCCACCCCAGCCCUUCUGGCCAAGUUCUCGUGCCUGAGAUGCCCCCCAGGGCCCCCCAGCCAUGCCUGCCCCCCCAGCCUCCGUGAGGCCAUUGGCUUUUCCAGGCCGCAGCGGGCCCGCCCUGCUUCUAGCCUUGGCACAGCCCUCACUGGGGCCCUGUCACAGAGCAGGAUCAGAGACCCUCUGUUGUACACCCACCCCCACGUACACACAGCGGGCAGACCUGGGGGGAGCGGGGCUCUAGGGUGGGGGCAGGACAGCAAGGAGGCAGGAGCAGGGGAGCCUGGGAGGGCGCAGGGGCUGCUCCUGGGGGCCCCAGGGUGGGAGGGGGCUGGAGGGCCCUCCUCACUGUCAUGCUUGGUGCCGGAGACCCUAAGUGGAUUCAUUUAAGAUGAAGAGACCCAUGGUGGGGCGUGGCUGCUGGGGGGGUCAGCUGUGAGUGGGGGGGCCGCGUGCCUGCAGGGGAGGGCAGAGGAGGGCUAUGGCCGGCUGUGGCCAGGGCCCAGCGAGGCUGACGGUGACCGUGGCAGGGCCCCGGAGGUGGGGAGAGGGCGGGAGCUGGAGGACAGGGGUCCCCCAACCUGGAGGCCGGAAAACUUUCUGCUUCAUUUGUAAAGCUUUGACUCAGCAGACACGUGGCCAACCCAGAGAGAGGUCUCCAUGUUGCUCAGAACGUGGCUGGAACACGCGGAUGGGAGGCGGUGUGGGUCGGCAUCCUGCUGGACCUCGGCAGGCGAUGCUCUGAUCAGUGAGGCUGAGAGCACGGAGGUCCUCGAUGGGCUCUCAACAAUGCAGACCCCGCAACACUAGACCGCUUCUCUGAUUAUCUGCCAGCUGGAUUCUUCCCCUUCCGGCCUGGGACCUGUGAGUGCGAGGAUCGGCGACAGCUUUGAAGAGUCUGGGCCAGUUUUCUUGAAGAGGAUCUCACAAUUGAAUUGGUUGGACAGUUUCUGCACAGUCAGACCAAGGCUGAACUUUGGGGCCAGAACACGGCUUCAGUGGCGUUGGGUCCUCUGGGCUGUUCAUGGUCGUGUAGGCACCCAAGGCCUGUGUCUCUCGCUGUUGACCGUAAUGAGACUGAUAACCGGGUUCAGAUGAGGCUCACCAGUUUUCUGUUUUCAGAUGCCCACAGGCAGAUGAAUGGAGAAAGAAGCUAUGGUGCAUAUAUACAAUGGGAUAUCACUCAGCUGUAAAGAUGAGCACAUCUGAGUCGGUUCCAAUGAAGUGGAUGAACCGAGAGCCUGUUAUACAGAGUGGAAUAAGCCAGAAGGAGAAAAACAACUAUUGUGUAUUAACACGUGUACAUGGAGUCCAGAAAGAUGGUGCGGAUGAGCCUGUGCUCAGGGCAGCAGUGGAGAUGCAGACGUGGGGGACGGGUGUGUGGAUGCAGAGGAGGACGAGAGUAGCUCGGAAACACGUCCAUCACCGCGUGUGAAACAGGCAGUGGGAACUUGCCGUGUGCCGCAGGGGGCUCAAGCCCGGCGGGCUGGGGCGAGGGGGAGGGAGGGGACACGUGUGUCUGUGGCCUGCUCAUGUCUGUCUAUGGCAGAAGCCAGCACAGCACUGUACGGCAAUCAUCCUCCAGUUAAAAAUAAAUAAAAUUUUAAAAAGCUACCUUAAAAAGGGAAACAUUUCAGCAUACAAGGAAACUAGGAAGGAAAAUAAUAAGAUGAAUGUUUUCAGUAAAAUAAGAGGUGAAAAAUGGAAAUACAUUUUGUUGAGGGCAAAGAGUGUGAUGUUGUCCUGAAGAAUUUUUAAGAGAGAUUUUUGUGUGGCAGGAAGCAGCACAGUAUUGUAAAGCAAAUAUCCUUUAAUUAAAGAUAAAUAAAUUUAAAAAAUAAAGAUACUAAACUAAUUAGGCUUAUUUAGGAUGUUAAAUUACAUGGGAAAUAUUAUCAAACAAAAAACAACAUUAAGCCUUCUUUAUGUUAUGUCUGUAUAAAUAUAUUAUACACUAUGUGUUCCAGAAAUUACAUGAAAUUCCUGGAAGCCUUGUGUGUUCUGACAUAAAAUGUUAUCUGACAUAAAAACUGAGGCUCCCACUGAAGGGGCUGAACCCAAGAAUUAGGGUAAAAAAACAGAAUCUGUAAAGUUUAUGGUGUAUGUAGACAAAGUCCACUCUGCAUCUACAAAAUUUAUCCCUCACUGUCAGACGUUUCCCAUCCUGAUGACCUUGUAAAAUGGCAAUAGCCUGCUCCUAAAUCAGAGAAAUUAAGAUGGGUAAACAACGGCUGUAAAUUAAAUGAACAAUCAGAGCUGUGGGAAACCCAAGACGGCCGCUUGCUUCCUCCCGUCUCCCUGACAAACCCUAUUUUUUAUUUGAUGGAGUAAAGCCUUCCCUUGAUGCAAGGCUUAUGGCCUCACAAUGACAAAGAAACAGUUUAAGAAUGUGUGUUCCCCUUGGCCUUUCGCCUCCCACGGUCUCCAAUAAUCAAGGCACCCACUUCGCUGGGCAAAUCAUACAAGUCUUAACAACAACUAAAACCUCACAAACUUCUUGAAAUUAUCUGUAUUCUUAUCACCCUCAGUCAUCAGGCGAGGUCAACAAAGCUAACGGGAAGCCUGGACUCAAAACAGGACAAAAACUAAUCACACGGCACUGAGCGACCUGAUAAGUGUGAUUACAGUUUUUACGACUUUUUGUUUGACAUGUUAUUGGCUUUUAAUCUUUGUUUUCCAGAUGUAAAAGAACCUCUCCCCUUAAGCUUAUGAUGACUGGAAACAAGUUUGUAAAUUACCACCCUUGUAAACAGAAUUGAAGCAUUUCUCUCUUCUCUCUGCCUGACCCCUUCAGCACUAGGAAACCCCAGCGUCCAGCAGCCUUUCCAGGUGAGUAAGGAAGGCCACUUCCUGGUGGGCACAGGAAGCUCAAGACACUCUGGACCUUGGGAAGACAGGAAUCCAGCCAAAUGCACAGGUGCUGCCAGCAGAGUCUGAUAGCAGAGCUUUCCUGGCCGUGGGAGGCCUUUGGAAAGUCCAAUUUGAGAUUCUCUAGGAGUUAGUUUCAGCACAGCCGAAUGUGAACGUGCCCACAACCCCAAAGAGGGCUUCCCUGAUGGCUCAGCUGGUGAAGAAUCCGCCUGCACUGCCGGAGACCUGGGUUCGACCCCUGAGUCGGGAAGGUCCCCUGGAGAAGGGAACAGUUACCCACUCCAGCAUUCUGGCCUGGAGAAUUCCAUGAACUGUGUAGUCCAUGCGGUCGCAGAGUCGGACACAACUGAGCGCCUCUCACUUUAACCCCAAAGAAGACGUCCUGUGGGCAGACAGCACGUGGAAAGGUGCCCAUGUCACCGAUCAUCAGAGAAGCAUCACAGUCAAACCCACAGUGAGAGGUAGCUUCACUCCCAUCACCAAGGCCGUCAUCAAAAAGACCCCCAGUGACAAUGGUUGGCCAGGACAUGGGAAAAAGAGAGGCCUGGUUGGUGGAAACGUCCGUCGGCGCAGUCACUAUGGAGAACGGUAUGGAGGCUCCUAAAAAACUAAAAAUAGACCUUCCCUAUGAUUUAGCAAUUCCACUUCUGGGUAUAUAUCCAAAGAAUAGGAAAGCACUCAUUUGAAAAGGCACCCCCCCCCCCUUGCUCAUAACAGCAUGGUUUACAAUAUGAAAGCCACCCAAGUGUUCAGCAAAGGAUGAGUGUCUGAAGAAGAUGUGGUAUAUAUAUCAUAUACACAAUGGAGUGUUUUGGUGUUGUUUAGUCGCUAAGUCGUGUCCAACUCUUUUAUGACCCCAUGGACUGUAGCUUGCCAGGCUUCUCGUUCCACGGGGUUUCCCAAGCAAGAACACUGCAGUGGGCUACCAUUUCCUUCUCCAGGGGAAUCUUCCUGACUGAGGGAUUGAAUCCACCUCUCCUACAUUAGCAGAUGGAUUCUUUACUAGUGACUCACUCUGGGGAGCCGCAGAGGGAUAUUACUCAGCCAUGAAAAUGAAAUCCUGCCAUUUUUCAGCAACGUGGAUUAACUAGAGAACAUUAUGGUUAAUGAAAUAAGUCAGACAAAGAAAGACAAAUAGUCUAUGGUAUCAUUUUUAUGUGGGACCUAAAAAUAAAGCAAAUGACUGUACAUCAGAAAACAGAAACAGAUUCACAGAUACAAAGAACCAAUGAGUGGUUAUCAUUGGGAAGCAGUGGGGGAAGAGGCAGAAUAGAAGCAUGGGAUUAAGAGGUACAAACGACGUAAAGUAAAUAACCAGGAUUUCCCUGGUAGUCCAGUAGUUGAGGCUCCUUGCUGCUCAUGCAGGGCACCCAGGCUUGACCCUGGUCAGGGAGCUGAGAUCCCACCUGCUGUGCAGUGCAGUGAAAAAUAAAAUAAAAGUGAAAAGCAGAUAACCAGCAAAGGUAUGUUGUGCAGCGCGGGGAACCACGGCCACCGUUUUGUAAUAACUGUGAAUGGAGUGUAAUCUAUGAAAAUGACGAAUCACUGUGUUACAUACCUGAAACUAAUGGCAUAUUGCAAAUCGACUAUACCUCAAUAAAAAAGAAAGAGCCCAUGUGUCCAAUUAACCUUAGGUAAAUAAUCAGGCCAAGUUUCUUGAAACCAGACUUAUUUUUUGCAAACAGUCUCAAUCUGGCUAUACUUGAUGGAAAUAAGGAUAAUUUUAGAGAGACAAAAUAUGUUUUUUAACAGUAUACCUUUGUGGAUAUUAAGUUCUGGUGCUAUUGUCUUUGAGGUUUGGUAUUUUCUGCUUAAAACUCACUUCCUAAAUGACUCCUUGUUACUGUGUCACGUUAUUGUAAAGUUUAAGUGAAUUAUUAAAAGGAUGUUCUAAGCUGCUUUCUGAGGCUGAUCGCAGUAAAUUAACUUUGGAUGAAGAUCAGACACCCUAUGACCUGCACCCAGGAGAUUGUGUAGACUGAAAAAGACAUCAUUUAAAGGACUUUCUCUCCAACCUAGAUGGAAGGACCCUUACCAGCUACUCUUCACUAGCUCACGCACAGUGAAACUGAAGGGAAUUGACUCCUGAAUUCGCACUUCCCACUUUACAAAGGCCUCUGCAUCAGACUGGUCUGCAGAGAGGACUGUUGACCUCAAACUCACCUUAAAACGACCAUCAGGACGACUAAGACUGCAGGAGGGGCCGCUGACCCAAGGACCCGGGCCAGGCCUGUGGGACCCACCCCGCUAGUUCAGCUGAACGGUUAUUCAAAUGCUUGUCUCCCUAGCAAAAUAAAAAGUUAUUGUUC